GACGAACGCUGGCGGCGUGCUUAACACAUGCAAGUCGAACGGUGAAGGGACCAGCUUGCUGGUUCUGGAUGAGUGGCGAACGGGUGAGUAACACGUGAGUAACCUGCCCCCUUCUUCUGGAUAACCGCAUGAAAGUGUGGCUAAUACGGGAUAUUCUGGGUCUGUCGCAUGGCGGGCCCGGGAAAGAUAUUGCUUCGGUUGGGGAUGGGCUCGCGGCCUAUCAGCUUGUUGGUGGGGUGAUGGCCUACCAAGGCGGUGACGGGUAGCCGGCCUGAGAGGGGGGACGGUCACACUGGGACUGAGACACGGCCCAGACUCCUACGGGAGGCAGCAGUGGGGAAUAUUGCACUAUGGGCGCAAGCCUGAUGCAGCGACGCCGCGUGAGGGAUGGAGGCCUUCGGGUUGUAAACCUCUUUCGCCAGUGAAGCAGGCCUGCUCCUUGUGGGUGGGCUGACGGUAGCUGGAUAAGAAGCGCCGGCUAACUACGUG
rnacentral:rRNA from 1 species